UACGUAGGGGGGCGAGCGUUGUCCGGAAUUAUUGGGCGUAAAGGGCUCGUAGGCGGUUUGUCGCGUCGGGAGUGAAAACACGGGGCUUAACCCCGUGCCUGCUUCCGAUACGGGCAGACUAGAGGUAUGCAGGGGGAGAACGGAAUUCCUGGUGUAGCGGUGAAAUGCGCAGAUAUCAGGAAGAACACCCGUGGCGAAGGCGGUUCUCUGGGACGGUACUGACGCUGAGACGCGAAAGCGUGGGGAGCGAACAGG
rnacentral:rRNA from 1 species